UAUCUUGUACUCCAGCUUUUUAAACAAGAGUUCAAUGAGAGUUUUAUCACUUUAAAAACUCUCUGCCCGACUAUUUUAGUUUGUUGAUAGGCACCAGUUCAUAGUGCUGCUUGGUAGUGAGAAAUGGACCUUAAAUGCUGAGGAGUUGAGAAGACAGGAAAGAAAUGAAGUGAACAGGCUUUGUUAGAACUUGCAAUAAUUACAGAAUCCAUGUGCAAGAGGCAGGGUCUGAUUGAUUUGAACAUAAAACUGGCAGAAUAUUUGGACCAGAUAAGCUUUUAACCUUUAAGGUUAUUUCUUGGAAAAUAUCAUAUCAUUAGUACAGUUGUCACACUCGAAUUUGGUUUAUAACACUUUAAUGAUACAUAUAAAGCUAAGUAGUUGUAUGUAGAAUGAGGAUAGCCUCAGGCAUACAGAAAAGGACCAACCUAUCAAUAUGCUCCUCUUAAGGAGACUUCAACUUCCCAAAUGUUAAAUAGCCUGUAGGCCACGUCCUCUCUUGAACAAACCAGGGCAGAACUUGAACUUUCUAAUAUGUUAUUCCUGGAACAAGUUACAUUUGCCAACCAACCAAGAGCAGCAACCUCUUGCAUCUUAGUUUCACAAAUAAUAUAGACCUCAUCUAUAAUGUGAAGAUGGCACGAACAGCUUUCUCAAACUACAACAUUGUAAAACUAAUACUGAUCCUAGGUGAGCUGCUGGCAUCUACUCUAUAAGAUAAGAAGUACUCAAAGCCAUAUCCGACUUGAAUUUCCAUAAAGCAAACAGGAAAUCAAUUUGCAAAGAGAUGUACAGCAAAACAGGCCCAACGGUUUAUGUAAGACAAGGACUUAAAACUCAGUUUAUGUCAACGAGCCAGCUAUAUGCACUAAACAUGAAAACCAAAGAUUAAAACUCGAGAAAUAGGAAAAUCCUUAUAAGAUGCAGAACAAAGGUCUCAAAGUGAUUGCGUAGGCAACUGAAGGAUAGUGAAAAGUUAAGAUGGACAUUCCUGGAAAUUGAAAGCAAACUCAAACUCUCUCAUGAAAAGAAAAGAGACCAGAGAAGAGAGUUGUUAAAAGUAUUAGAACAAACCCUGAAGCUUUCUAUAGAUUUGCAAAGGAAACAGCCGUAGUACAGUACAAAAUAGGACCAUUGUUCCAAGAGAAUGGCUCACUGAUUACGGACCCCAAAAGGAUAAGUGAUGUACUCAGUGAACAAUCUGAAAGUGUCUUCACCUCCCUCUCCCCUGGGACACAUGUAAAUAAAUAAACCUGGUUGAAUUCUUUGACAUUUCAGAGGAAGACAUUUCAGCAAAACCAUGGAACAAAUCAUCAGAAGGAAACUGAUGAUGUUUCAAGAAGGAAAUGACUUGCUGAGUGUUACUCGGCCUGGUUUCAGUCAGGAAGAAGCUGCCUCACCCAGCCCUCAUGGCGCAGAUGACUGGGUUUUGAAGCAGCUGCUCAAUCAUUUAAAUGUUGACUUUGCAAAAAAACCUUUGACAACAUAGAUCGUGGCACAUGUCACAAGCUGAGAGCGUGGCAUUGAUGGUGACCUAGGAGAGUGGCUACAUGAUAGUUGGGCAGUUGCAAUUGAUAGUGCCCUCUCUAGAGAAACAAAUUCUGAAUGGGGGUCACUCAGGGAACUGUCUUAGGACCAUUACUGUUUAUAGUUGCUCUUUUAGACAUGCCUAUGGUCAUUCAGACAGGUAGUACCACUAACUACACUGAUGACACAAAAUUAUUACAGACAAUAAAGAACCCUUACAGUGUGACAAGCUUUUGCAGCUGCACCUGAAUGCAAUAUAUGUGGACAGAACAAAACAACAUGCAACUUAAUGCUGGAAAUUUUCAAGCAGCACCACAACCUACAUGUAUAGGACCUGGAGGCACUGCAUUCCUAGAGUCACAUACAGCAUAUGUAAUGAUGCAUCAUUUCAUGUGCACAUUACCAAGAUGGAUUCUAAGGACCAAGAAGUCAUGUUGACCCCUGUGGUCACUGCACAAUGUGAAAAUAAUUGUGCAGCUUCAAACAAUCCAAUGUUACUACACUAAAAGGUACUGUCCACUCCAUCUAAUAUCAGCUUGGGGUUCACAAAUUUUCAGUACUCUGCCACAAAAAUUAAGAAACUUACCCAAUGUGAAUGUCUUCAAAAAGGACUUGAACAUUCUCCUAUCCACAAUAUCAGAUGAACCAACAUCCCAGCAUGAAAUAUAAUGUGUGUGUGUGUGUGUGUAGCUUUGACUGGUUUCAGUCAUUGAUUUGCAAUCAUGCUGGGGCACCACUUCAAAGGGUCAACCCCAGUAAUUACUUUUAAAAGCCUGGUAUUUAUUAUAUCAGUCUCUUGUGUCAUCAUGUAACAGGGAUAUAAACAAAUUAACACCAGUUGUCAAGUGGUGGUAGAGGACAAACACACACACACAAAAUGGGCUUCUUCCAGGUUCUAUCUGCCAAAUCCACUCACAAGGCUUUGGUCAGCCCAUGGCUAUAGUAGAAGACAUGUGCCAUGCAGUGGGACUAAACACAGAGUCACGUGAUUGAGAAGCAAAUGUAUAUACAUGAGGGAAAAUUUCUGGAUUUUAAACAUUUCCCACUAUAACAUUAAAUUGGUUUUUCAGAGUACUUAAUGAAAUCUUGCCCCAAUCUAGCAUUGAAGGGAUGUUUACAGGAGACUUGCAGCAGUUUUCUUGAAUCCUCAGCAGAGAUCAUUAUUUUGUUUACAAUGGAAGUGAAAAUACACACCUAAGACUAAAGCUCUGACAACUCCUGCAUGUCUGGAAUACUACUGUAUUAUUAAGCUACACUAACCAACACACACACACACACACACCAGUUGCUGGAUCACAGAUCUAUAGUGUCCUCUCUCUCUGCCUGUUCCUAUAACUACUGCCACCUCUAUAGAUUUCCUUCAAACACCUGACACAUUUUCCCUGCUAACCAAUUAUUUUUAGUUUUAAGUGGUUCACUUUUAGACAUAGGAAUUGCUAAAUUAGAUGUAAAGUGCAAAUGCUUUGUAAUUAGAUUGCUAUUGCAAUAAUUAUGAUUAC